rnacentral:rRNA from 1 species
GACGAACGCUGGCGGCGUGCUUAACACAUUCAAGUCGAACGGUAAGGCCCUUCGGGGUACACGAGUGGCCAACGGGUGAGUAACACGGGGGUGAUCUGCCCUGCACUUCGGGAUAAGCCUGGGAAACUGGGUCUAAUACCGGACAGGACCACUGCCUGCAUGGGUGGGGGUGGAAAGCUUUUGCGGUGUGGGGUGGGCCCGCGGCCUAUCAGCUUGUUGGUGGGGGGAAGGCCUCCCAAGGCGACGACGGGGAGCCGGCCUGAGAGGGUGACCGGCAACAGUGGGAGUGAGAUACGGCCCAGAGGCCUAGGGGGGGGAGCAGUGUGGAAGAUGGCGUAAUGCGCGCAAUGCGGAUGCAGCGACGCCGCGUGAGGGAUGACGGCCUUCGGGUUGUAAACCUCUUUCAGCACCGACGAAGCGCAAGUUACGGUAGGCGCAGAAGAAGGACCGGCCAACUACGUGCCAGCAGCCGCGGUAA